AGAACAUUGAGAAAUAUUUUAAAGGAAAUGUUGAUGCAUCCAGAAAGGAGAAGGAAUAACCAGCCUAGUUGGGGCUCAGUGGUUUGAAGACCAGACCUUCCUCGUUGGGUAUUUAUUCUUCGACAUUUGGACCGCUUCCCUAAAAGUCUCCUCUCUAGGAUCUGAAUUGCCUUUUUAGAGCUAUACUACUUUUUUAUGAAGGCUGCUUGAUUGAGAAUGAUGCAAACCACUGAAAUACCAUGGCAGAGGAAAACAUUUCCAUUAGGAGAGAUCAUCACAGCUCACUUAUAUUCACAUCAUAGACUGGAGUAAAAUUUCUUCAGGGGCUGGCAUUGUGGCAUAGCAGGUUAGGCUUCUGCCUGUGACGCCGACACAUUUGGAAAUAUGGGUGCAAGUUUAAGACCCAACUGCUCCACUUCCAAUCCAGCUUCCUGCUAAUGGCGUGGGAAAAGCAGCGGAAGACGACCCAAGUGGCUGGGCCCCUGCACCCACGUGAGACACCAAGAAAAAGCUUGGGGCUCCUGGCUUCCGGCUUUGGCCCGGCCUAGCCCCGACAG